UGUGCAUAUUUUAUGGCCUAGAUAACUC
rnacentral:piRNA from 1 species